rnacentral:tRNA from 1 species
UGGCUCAGUGGUUAAGAGUUCAGCUGCUAACUGAAAGGUUGGUGGUUCAAACCCACC